rnacentral:tRNA from 1 species
GUGGGUAUAGCUCAGUUGGUUAGAGCGCCAGGUUGUGGCCCUGGAGGUCAUGGGUUCGACCCCCAUUACUCACCCCA